GAAAGAUGAAAAGAACUUUGAAAAGAGAGUUAAACAGUACGUGAAAUUGUUGAAAGGGAAACGAUUGAAGCCAGUCGUACCUUCGGGUAAUCAGCCUUUUGGGUGUGAUUUUGUGGAGCGUGAGGAGUUAAACGCCUUCAUGCCUGCAUAUUCGUGCACUUUGGGUGUACUUGCCCGUAUGGUUGGUUAACAUCAAUUUUGGUGGUCAUAAAAUGACUGGAGGAAUGUAGCUUCGAUCUUGUAUUGAAGUGUUAUA
rnacentral:rRNA from 1 species